GCAGAUGUGGCCGAGUGGUUAAGGCGACUGACUCGAAAUCAGUUUCCAUCUUGGAGGGUAGGUUCGAAUCCUACCAUCUGCG
rnacentral:tRNA from 1 species